AGUGUAUGGAUGUGUUCUGACAUGUCAUUUGUUCAACAGACAUAAGCCCACGAGGUGUAACCUCACCAGGCAGACUGUCCCUGUCUUCCAAGAAGUUUGACUACCGACAGUUCGCUGCAAUUCCUUCUUCCAAACCCGUUUACGACAUUCAGACUCCUGAAGCGGCUGAUGAUAUACAAUUCAAUGAUGGUUCUCAUAAUACCGGAGAGUACCUGGGAUAAGCAGCACCUGUUGCGCCUGUUGCCAGCCCAGAAGCAGACCUCACAGUGCCGCUUCCCACCACCUCGGCCCUGGAGGAAAUGGCCCUCUAUAGCAACAAGCGUAAACUGAGACAGGGCCGCCGCAGCCUGGAGACCGCCGUACCCACAUAACAGCACAUCUGCACCAAACCCACUGGGAGACAAAACCCUGUGGAACACCGAUGUACCACGAGGCGUAUACCCCUUCAACACUAGACCUGUGUCAGUAGAGCUAUCAUUCAGUGCACAAAUUCACUGACACUAUCCUGCGUGCCAGCCAUGCCUUUCACAGUCUACGGACAUUGGACAAGAGGAGGCAAGCGUGGUUAGCCUAGCGUGGUUAGCCUAGUGUUUAGUGUGCUUUAGAAGUAUCCGACAUGGCCGAUUGUUUUUUAGUUUUGUUAUUAUUAUUUACAUAUUUGCACCUCAAAAAAGAUAUACUGGAAACAAAAAGAUAUGGGUCCCUCUAGCUGUACUAACAUGCUGAAAUAUAUUUUUAGACUUUAAAUAGAUUGUAAAUGUUAUCACUUUGAGUUGAAACGGAGUGUACAUAUUGAUUGGGAACAGCCUGCUACCUUCGCGGCCACAACUAGAUUGAUUUUUUUUAUUUUUUUUUUAAUGAAUGGGACAUAUCAUGUUUGCACUGCCACUGUUCAGCUUUUUAAAAUGCAUAUCUCUGAGUAAUUUAUUGUUUUUAAAAAUAAAUACAUUUACUUACAAAACAUUUAUCAAUAUCAAAUUUAACUUCUUAAAUAUCUGUAAGAACACUAUUAUCAUAUGUGAUAAUAUUCAUAUUCUGACUGUGUUACAUUCCCUGUUGUAGCGAACACAGCAGCAGAAAAGCUAAAUCUAUAUAAUCAAUGGUACUUGUUUUUCAUGCACAUCUUCAUUUUUGUCUUUUUGCAUCCCGAGUUUUGGAGUGACGUGAAGGUAGCAGCUCCUAUAUUUUUCUGUCUUGAGUAAUUUAAAUGAUGCCACUGAAAUCAUUUAUUAUUGUGUGAAUAAUGUACAAAUAUUGAAAUUAUAGUGAACUUUGGGUGUGCAACUGAGCCAGUCUUGACCACGACUAUAGUCUGGACUGCUGACUUGGGGCUCGGAGCUCUCUGCAUGUUUGACAGUUGCGAAUGGGAGAGCUAAGAGAGGCCUGGCCAAGUAAAAAAUCUCUAUCAAGACACAUUUUUCCAUCAGAAUCAAAGCUUGUGUUAAUAAUUUAAUGUUGAAUCUUAGUUUUUCAUGUUGCUCUAAUUGACUGAAAUUCAGUUCGUCAGAUAACUUUUGUGAUGGCUUUUUAAAACUUACAGUAGCUAUUUUUUCAGCCGGGUUUCACUUCAGUAAUAAUGCAGUGUUUUUAAGUCUGUUUGUCUUCAGUAAUCUUUGGGGGCUGUAACCUGCAAAUGGGUCGAUGGUAAAGGGUUUGAGCUCACACAAGACUGUAACUAGUGAAUUUGUACAACCAAAGAAGUCUAUUUUGUGGUUCAGGAAUAAUAAAUUUUACUUUUCAUUUAAGAUAAA
ensembl:lncRNA